rnacentral:lncRNA from 1 species
AAUAAAGUGCGCACAAAUGAGCAGGGACUUGGAAUACACAUAUCUCGAAUCUCAAAACGCAGCGUUCAAAUAAGGAUUAAAUUGUAACAAUGCGCAAAUCUCAGGGAAAAUGUAAAAAAUAAAUAAAACAUGAUUGAGGCUUAAUUAAAGAUCGGUGCAGGAGAGGAGGGACUACAUGCGCAAUUAGCCCUCAAAGACCAAAACAUGCGGAUCUCGAUGGGCACCGGGUCGGGUCGCACGGGUAAGGCCUAUACGGCACCGUUUUGGAGCCACUGAAACAGGCCCUAAACGGUGCCGUUUCAUGCUCUUCAUAAAACAAAAAUAAAAAUAAAAAACCCUAAACUAACAUUUGGCUAUUUGAAAAAGAAUCAAAAUAAAACCUAAAGCCUCCCUUCCACUCUCAUUCAGCCGAACCAAAAAGCUCUACCACUUCACCUCCAUACUCAACGGACGGCAACGUAUGAAGGUUUAUCCUGGCCUUAUUCGACCGCAAAUCUGAGGGUUUUGUUAUGCUUAACCUCAAUCCUCAUCUAGCUUCGAUUACCACGACGUAAACAAGGAUUCGAAGCCUCCUAAGAAAGAUAAGUAUUAACGCUUUCAUUUAUUUUGUUUUUUACAUACAAUGACGAAGAUCAAAGAAAAAUAGAAGCAAAAACGAAAGACAAAAAAUGAGAUUUAAAAUCACCUUUGGAAAACUCUUUUUCCUAUUCAAACUUUUGGUAUAGAUUUUGUAUCGUCUCUCCCAAAAAUCCCCCUUUACAUUCAAUUUCAUUUCGUUUUAUAGCUGAAAAAUAAGAAUAAAAUAAAUAAGAAAAUCAAAUUUCCUUGCUGUAAUUUCUGUUAUUUGCUGUCCAUUGCUCUUUUGUUUGUUAGUCUGCUGUAGGUGUGUAUGGCGUGGAGAAGCCAUUCGUGGGCAUGUCGACGUGGAGAAUGAAGCAACGGCGCGCGUGAAAGCUGGCACGAAGGUAGCAGCGGCACAAGGGGGAAAGGUAACCCUAUAGUUCUAAAAAUAUUAAACUUUCGGGCCUGGGCUAGUUUUUGUCAUUGGGCCGUUGCAAUUUGAUUUGUAUUUUGAGGCUUUUUAUUUUGGAUUUUGGGCUUGGGAUAUUAUUAUGGACAUUGGACUUUAAUUUUGGUUUUUUUUUUGUUUUGGUUUAUUUUGUUUUUUGGUUUUUGUAUGGCCCGGGCUAAAAUUGGGCCUUACAAUGUAAAGACUUAUUUAUUGAAUGCUUAAAAGAAAAUUAUUCUACACGUCUCAAAAUCUUUGUAUUUUACUAACUUCAUUUUUUUUUAUUUUUGUGAAAAAUAAAAUAAAAUAAAAUAAAGAACACACAAAUUUUACGUGGAAACCCUUUCGGGAAAAAACUACGGGCAGAGAAGAAGAAAAUUCACUAUGUUGAAAAAUUUGAAUCAAAUACAAGAGGAAUAGACUAUGUCUAUUUAUAGGUUUGCAAAGCCAUAUUCUAGUAGGAUUGAAACACCUUAUCCUAAU